GCAUGGAUCUUAAGGGUAGCAUAUCUCCACAACUAGGAAAUCUCUCCUUUCUAGUUGAUCUUGAUCUCAGUUGGAGACUUUGGAUUGGAACUCUAAUAUCAUUGAAGGUACCAUUCCACCUGAGAUAGGAAGUCUAAAGCACUUGAAGAAUUUACAACUUUCAAGGAACAAACUUUCAGGAGCAAUUCCC